CCAGCAUUGAGUAUGGUUUACUGGAUUUGGCCCAGAGAGGGUGAAAGGCCCGUAGGGGUGGAGUAUCAGAAAUGUAAGGCAGUUCACCAGGUCGACCUUAGAGUCGGGUUGUUUGGGAAUGCAGCCCAAAGCGGGUGGUAAACUCCAUCCAAGGCUAAAUACAAGCACGAGUCCGAUAGCGAACAAGUACCGUGAGGGAAAGUUGAAAAGUACUCUGAAGAGAGAGUAAACAGUACGUGAAACCGCAUGCAGGUAAACGGGUGGCGUCAAGCUGCAGGCCCAGAGGAUUCAGUCGACUAGGUUGUAGUGUAUGUGCCUGGCGCAUCCAUCAGUCAGAGUGUGAUUGAGUAGUCCAUGGGUAAACCGUGGGCCUGGCCGCAAGGUCAGGAUGUGUGUACCGGAUGGGUGCCGGAGCAUGCUACUCGUCUGUGGACUGUCUAGUCGGUGCACUUUCUCUGUGGUCAACACCACGACCGGUGGUAUUGCCAGUCUGCUGUGCUCAAGUUGUGCUUGGUUGGUCCUUGUGGCUAGCUGGGUGCGAUCACAGGCAAACUCAGUGAACGGCGCGGGGGUGCUUCGGUAUCUUCGCGUGUUAUCGGCCACUGGUUGUCAACAGGCCUGCCCGGUGUUUGUUGUAACCGGCAUUGGGUGGUCUGGUGGAGCAUGGUGGUAAGAAUAACUGUGCAAGGCACCGGAGUUGUCGGCCUCAAAUGCGUCCCGCACACACGUUACAAGUGGUGAUUAGUGGCGGUGUCGUGGCCAUCUGCCUGGUGUUGGGUGUGAUUGGCGUGUUGCCCGCGAAAAGCGGGCCCGCCAGUGGCUCGAUUCAGGAUGGGUGGUUUGCGGCGCUGUCGGUGUGGGACGUG
rnacentral:rRNA from 1 species